rnacentral:rRNA from 1 species
CUGUUUUGUGCACAUCGGGGGACCUGCGAAGGUUUUAUCGGUGGGUAGUCGUAAUCGGAAAGGCAAAGAUGAUAAACGCUAAUUAUUAUUGAUAUGCGUUUGUAAUUUUGAAUAAUCAGACAUAGUACGAUAAGGUUGUAUGUCUAAAGGGAAACAGCCCAAAACAAGAGUUUAAGGUUCCAAAAUUAUUAUUAAGUGAAAUUAAGGAAGUUAUUAUUAUAUACGACCAGGAAAUAGGCUUAGAGGCGGCCAUUUUUUGAAGAUCUCGUAACAGAGCACUGGUUUAUUUGUUAGUAUGAAUAAAAAAGAAUUCGAUCAGUACAAUAAUAAAAAAAUAAUUUAUAUUAAAUACAUUUAAUGGCGCCGAAAAUUUAACGGAUCUAAAUAAUAUACCGAAACCUUGUCCAUAGAUACAAGCUAGGUUCAUUAUAUAUCAGUAUUAUAUAUACUUUAAAUAGACAUUAUAAACGAAAGCUAGGGCAUAUAGAAAAAAUAGACAGGAUAUAACUAGAGACAAUAGCCAAUUAAAUGAUUGCCCAUGACCAAUGAAUUAUUAAAAAUAGAUCAUGAAAAAGUAUAUAUACCUAGCUCUAUAGUAUAUUUAUGGGGUAGCGGAACGUUGGGGAUAUAUCAGAGUUUUUCUUUUUAAGAAAAGCAAAUAAGUAGCUAUGAUGUUUGCUAUUAUUUUAGCAGAAAAUGGUAUAAUAGCAGUAAAUAUUAUAACAGCGAAGAUGUCGCUGUAAUGUUUGCUAUUAUUUUAGCAGUAAAUGUUAUAGUAGCAGUAAAUAUUAUAACAACAAAUAUAAUAACCCAAGUGAUAAUGCUGACAUGAGUAACAAAAAAGGAUUAUUUCCUCGCCUAAAGCUUAUGUAUUUAGUUAAAAGUAACGGUCUCUAAGUUUAAAGCCUAAAGGAUUAAACGAUGAAAAAAUCUAUUGUAUAUAAAACACUUUUGACAGCUACAGCUUGUAACUUUUUUAAAAAAGAGUAAAAAAACUGAUUAGAUGCUGCAAAAUUUAAUAUAAGUUUAGGCUUACAUGAGUGUAGUUAAAAGUGGGAAAAGUACUGGAAAAAUUAUAAUGCAGAUAAUAAAUACCGUAAC